UACAGAGGGUGCGAGCGUUAAUCGGAAUUACUGGGCGUAAAGCGCGCGUAGGCGGCUUUGCAAGUCGAGUGUGAAAUCCCCAGGCUUAACCUGGGAACUGCAUUCGAGACUGCAUAGCUAGAGUAUGGGAGAGGGAAGUGGAAUUUCAGGUGUAGCGGUGAAAUGCGUAGAUAUCAGGAGGAACACCAAUGGCGAAGGCAGCACUCUGGGACGUGACUGACGCUGAGACGCGAAAGCGUGGGGAGCAAACAGG
rnacentral:rRNA from 1 species